rnacentral:rRNA from 1 species
GAUAAACGCUGGCGGCGUGCUUUAUGCAUGCAAGUCGAACGGUCUCGAUUUAUCGAGAUAGUGGCGGACGGGUGAGUAACGCGUAAGCAACCUGCCCUCAAGUAGGGGAUAACUCUGAGAAAUCGGAGCUAAUACCGUAUGUGAUGGUGGAGGUAAUGCUCCAUCAUUAAAGCCUUUGGGUGCUUGAGGAGGGGCUUGCGUCCGAUUAGCUAGUUGGUAAGGUAACGGCCUACCAAGGCGACGAUCGGUAGCUGGUUUGAGAGGACGGCCAGCCACACUGGGACUGAGAUACGGCCCAGACUCCUACGGGAGGCAGCAGCAAGGAAUAUUGUGCAAUGGGCGAAAGCCUGACACAGCGACGCCGCGUGGGGGAAGAAGGCCUUCGGGUUGUAAACCCCUUUUCCCGGGGAAGAAUAAAAUGACGGUACCUGGGGAAUAAGUCUCGGCUAACUACGUGCCAGCAGCCGCGGUAAUACGUAGGAGGCGAGCGUUAUCCGGAUUUACUGGGCGUAAAGAGGGCGUAGGCGGCUUUUCAAGUCGGAUGUAAAAUCUCCCGGCUUAACUGGGAGGGAUCGUUCGAUACUGAUUGGCUAGAGUGCAGCAGAGGGAGGUGGAAUUCCCGGUGUAGUGGUGAAAUGCGUAGAUAUCGGGAGGAACACCAGUGGCGAAGGCGGCCUCCUGGGCUGUUACUGACGCUGAGGCCCGAAGGCGUGGGGAGCGAACAGGAUUAGAUACCCUGGCAGUCCACGCAGUAAACGAUGGAUACUAGGUAUGGGGGGUAUCGACCCCCUCCGUGCCGAAGCUAACGCUUUAAGUAUCCCGCCUGGGGAGUACGGUCGCAAGACUAAAACUCAAAGGAAUUGACGG